GGGGAGAUACUCAAGUGGCUAACGAGGACAGACUGUAAAUCUGUUGGUGUACACCUUCGCAGGUUCGAAUCCUGCUCUCCCCACGA
rnacentral:tRNA from 1 species